CCAAAAUUGGAAUGGUGAUGAGUGCAUUGCAGAGGAUGACUCCUGGCUGGUCCAGGCUAAUCAUGGAAUUCCAUUCUAGUUUCUUAGGCUGGGCAUGAGGCCUGACUGAUCAGUGAGAGCUGAGCUAAAGUCUGCUGGCUACACCUGGAAGUGAUCCUCACUGUUAAAAAAGGAAAUGACAUGUAAAUUGAGACCUGAAAAAUAAGUAGGAAUUUAUCAGAGAAGAGCUGGGAGGAUGGCAACCUACAGCCAAGGAACAGAAUGUGUAAAGGCUCUGAGGCAGGACGGGAGGGGAAGGUGGCUAUGGCAGUUCUGCACUGGCUUUCUGUGGCAUGAACUAUGAGUUCCAUUUGCUGAAGAAGAAACAGCACACAAAACAAGGCUCAGGUCCCUAACCUCCAUGGUCCCAAUGUAGCCAGCAGCCUGUCCUCUCUACAGGAGAAACAAUGGGAUGAGGACCUAGAGGUAAGUCAGAAGUGGAUGGCAUUCUCCAGCUUGUACAGAGGAAAACACUGGAACUGGGAGAAGUGAAGAUACCCUUGGUUUGCUGACUCCUGUUCAGGGCAGAAUAGCCUGCAUCAGCAGCACUGCUACAUGAGAGGAACUGAAGCUUUGCUGCAGGAAGAAGUUUGAGGGACUCUCAGAGUUACUUUCCAG